UGUAAUAAAAUAAAAACAAUAAGUCAAUCAUUAAUAUAAUUAGUAGACCUUUAAAAUAGCUUGUAAAGAUUUUCAAUUACCUCUGCUUUUCUUUCUAGUCCUCCUUCUUCUUCAGCCUGCGAAAAAAAAGAGUACAUUGUAAAGGUUUACUACGUAUUUAACCUUUAAAAUACAUUGUAAAACCUUUCCUUUCAAAUAGCUUUUAAAGAAACAUUUACAAUUACCUCUAGUUGUCUUUCUACUUCUUCAUGUUCUUGUUUUCUUUCUUCAUCUUCCUCAGAUCUCUGAUUAUUCUUUUCCUCCAUUCUAAUGUCCAAAAUCCUCUCAAUCAGCUCGACUCUCUUGUUAAGAUCUUCAAGGAUUGUCAAAAUCCUGUCAAGCUUCUCGCUAUCAGAUAUUUUGUUAUU
rnacentral:sRNA from 1 species